rnacentral:tRNA from 1 species
AGAGAGGUGUCCGAGUGGUUGAAGGAGCACGCCUGGAAAGUGUGUAUACCCGUGAGGGUAUCGAGGGUUCGAAUCCCUUCCUCUCUG